rnacentral:lncRNA from 1 species
AUUCUGUCAAAAAGCAUAGAGAGCAAAACCACAACAACCUGUGUCCUAGGAUUAUAAUUGUGACAUAAUAUACGCCAAGAACCUGAGGCUUGUCCAAUCAGCAUUGUCUUUCAGGGAAAAUAAAUCUUAUGUAUUCUAGGUUAGUCUCAUGAAUUAUGAAAAAGUUAAGACUUGAGUUAAACUUUGAAGGAUGGGCAUAGAGUGAGGGAUUAUAUGAGCAAAACUAUGGCAGAGGUGGAAAUCAGGGGACUCUUGUUGGGAUUGAUUGGAGACAUCUCAACAGGAUAUAAGAUAUGAAAACUGGACACAAGAUCUUAAGGGGCUCAAGCAAAAUCCAGCUUGUGUGUAAAGAGAAGCCCAUGUGUUGGAGAAAAGUGAGUAGCUUCUCAUGAAAUCUGAAUUCUUAGUAAGUACAAGGAGAUAACAAUCAACAGUGAUUAUAGCAGUUUAGUCCCCAAUACUAGUUUGAGUUAUUUCUGAAGAUCGAUAUUCAGCUUGAAUAUAAAUU